UUGGAGGGCAAGUCUGGUGCCAGCAGCCGCGGUAAUUCCAGCUCCAAUAGCGUAUAUUAAAGUUGUUGCAGUUAAAAAGCUCGUAGUUGAACUUCAGACCUGACCGGGCGGUCCGCCUAACGGUGUGUACUGUCUGGCCGGGCCUUACCUCUUGGUGAGCCGGCAUGCCCUUAAUUGGGUGUGUCGGGGAACCAGGACCUUUACCUUGAGAAAAUUAGAGUGUUCAAAGCAGGCUUACGCCGGAAUACAUUAGCAUGGAAUAAUAAAAUAGGACGUGCGGUU
rnacentral:rRNA from 1 species